GAUGAACGCUGGCGGCGUGCCUAAUACAUGCAAGUCGAGCGAACGGACGAGAAGCUUGCUUCUCUGAUGUUAGCGGCGGACGGGUGAGUAACACGUGGAUAACCUACCUAUAAUACUGGGAUAACUUCGGGAAACCGGAGCUAAUACCGGAUAAUAUUUUGAACCGCAUGGUUCAAAAGUGAAAGACGGUCUUGCUGUCACUUAUAGAUGGAUCCGCGCUGCAUUAGCUAGUUGGUAAGGUAACGGCUUACAAGGGCAACGAUGCAUAGCCGACCUGAGAGGGUGAUCGGCCACACUGGAACUGAGACACGGUCCAGAGUCCUACGGGAGGCAGCAGUAGGGAAUCUUCCGCAAUGGGCGAAAGCCUGACGCAGCAACGCCGCGUGAGAGAUGAAGGUCUUCGGAUCGUAAAGCUCUGUUAUUAGGGAAGAACAUAUGUGUAAGUAACUGUGCACAUCUUGACGGUACCUAAUCAGAAAGCCACGGCUAACUACGUG
rnacentral:rRNA from 1 species